GAUGAAGAACGCAGCGAAAUGCGAUAAGUAAUGUGAAUUGCAGAAUUCAGUGAAUCAUCGAAUCUUUGAACGCACAUUGCGCCCCUUGGUAUUCCGGGGGGCAGGCCUGUUCGAGCGUCAUUUCAACCCCUCAAGCUCGGCUUGGUGUUGGGCUGCGCCAGCGUUGCUGGCGGGCCUUAAAAUCAGUGGCGGUGCCGUUUGGGCUCCAAGCGUAGUAGCAUCUCUCGCUCUGGAGACCCGGCGGUUGCUUGCCAGACAAUCACCAAAAAAACAAAGGUUUGACCUCGGAUCAGGUAGGGAUACCCGCUGAACUUAAGCAUAUCAAUAAGCGGAGGA
rnacentral:misc_RNA from 1 species